AUGCACGCUGGCUACAGGCUUAACACAUGCAAGUCGAGGGGAAACGACGGGGAAGCUUGCUUCCCCGGGCGUCGACCGGCGCACGGGUGAGUAACGCGUAUCCAACCUGCCUCUGACUGAGGGAUAACCCGUCGAAAGUCGGCCUAAUACCUCAUGGUAUCGUCUGCGGGCAUCCAACGACGAUUAAAGAUUUCAUCGGUCAGGGAUGGGGAUGCGUCUGAUUAGCUUGUUGGCGGGGUAACGGCCCACCAAGGCUACGAUCAGUAGGGGUUCUGAGAGGAAGGUCCCCCACAUUGGAACUGAGACACGGUCCAAACUCCUACGGGAGGCAGCAGUGAGGAAUAUUGGUCAAUGGGCGAGAGCCUGAACCAGCCAAGUAGCGUGCAGGAAGACGGCCCUAUGGGUUGUAAACUGCUUUUAUGCGGGGAUAAAGUGAGGGACGUGUCCCUCAUUGCAGGUACCGCAUGAAUAAGGACCGGCUAAUUCCGUG
rnacentral:rRNA from 1 species